rnacentral:rRNA from 1 species
AUUGAACGCUGGCGGCAGGCCUAACACAUGCAAGUCGAACGAGUGGCGGACGGGUGGGUAAUGUCGGAGAAACUGCCUGAUGGAGGGGGAUAACUACUGGAAAAGGUAGCUAAUACCGCAUACCAUCAGAUGUGGCCAGAUGGGAUGAGCGUGUUGGUGGGGUAACGGCUCACCAAGGGGACGAUGCCUAGCUGGUCUGAGAGGAUGACCCGCCACACUGGAACUGAGACACGGUCCAGACUCCUACGGGAGGCAGCAGUGGGGAAUAUUGGACAAUGGGCGAAAGCCUGAUCCAGCCAUGCCGCGUGUGUGAAGAAGGUCUUCGGAUUGUAAAGCUCUUUAAGUUGGGAGGCGUUACCAACAGAAUAAGCACCGGCUAACUCCGUGCCAGCCGCCGCGGUAAUAC